AGAGUUUGAUCCUGGCUCAGGAUGAACGCUAGCGAUAGGCUUAACACAUGCAAGUCGAGGGGCAGCAUGAUCUUAGCUUGCUAAGGUCGAUGGCGACCGGCGCACGGGUGCGUAACGCGUAUGCAACUUGCCUUACAGAGGGGGAUAACCCGUUGAAAGACGGACUAAAACCGCAUACACUUGUAUUAUUGCAUGAUAUUACAAGGAAAUAUUUAUAGCUGUAAGAUAGGCAUGCGUCCCAUUAGCUGGUUGGUGAGGUAACGGCUCACCAAGGCGACGAUGGGUAGGGGAACUGAGAGGUUUAUCCCCCACACUGGUACUGAGACACGGACCAGACUCCUACGGGAGGCAGCAGUGAGGAAUAUUGGUCAAUGGGCGAGAGCCUGAACCAGCCAAGUCGCGUGAAGGAAGACAGUCCUAAGGAUUGUAAACUUCUUUUAUACGGGAAUAACGGGCGAUACGAGUAUUGCAUUGAAUGUACCGUAAGAAUAAGCAUCGGCUAACUCCGUGCCAGCAGCCGCGGU
rnacentral:rRNA from 6 species